ensembl:lincRNA 5430416N02Rik RIKEN cDNA 5430416N02 gene
CGAUGGUGGCGCGCGCCGGGGAAGGACUGAUUGGAGAAUGGCGCCAAAUGGGUCACGGAUGGCGAGGGGGCACAGGAGCUCUCGAUGUGACCUGGCGCUGUGGAUGUGAUACACAGCAGCUUGAGUGGGACUGCUCCGCUGUCCUCAUGAGAGAACGCUUUUUCUGAAGAUGGGAGGUGGCUAAUGAAAGAAGGUGAGGUCUCUCGGGCCCUUGCUGUCCUCCAGUGCGAUGGGAACUGCACGGGUACGGAAACUUAGGGCCCUCAGAACUUUGUUUGAGUUUGGGAAUAGGGCAUCGAGGGUGGAUAGCUUUCAGGACUAGGCGAUUUUAUUGGAGCCCAGUGAUUAAAACCUUUGACUUCUUUGUAUCCUUCAAAUGAUACAAAAUUCAAUUCCAACAAGUUUUUUCCCUCCUAUUUUACUGAGAAUUGAAGUCACCCACGUCAUCAAGGAAUUAAUUUAUUCAUGUUUUUCCAUUAUAUAUGCUUUUAUCUUAUUUGGAUGAAAUCAACAAUUUUGCUGGGUUUUUCCUUUUAUUUUUAUUUUUUUUAAAUAAAACGCAGC